UACGGGGGGGCAAGCGUUGUUCGGAAUUACUGGGCGUAAAGGGUUCGUAGGUGGCCGACUAAGUCAGACGUGAAAUCCCUCAGCUCAACUGGGGAACUGCGUCUGAUACUGGUUGGCUUGAGUGCAGGAGAGGAACGCGGAAUUCCAGGUGUAGCGGUGAAAUGCGUAGAUAUCUGGAGGAACACCGGUGGCGAAGGCGGCGUUCUGGACUGCAACUGACACUGAGGAACGAAAGCCAGGGGAGCAAACGGG
rnacentral:rRNA from 1 species